ACCAGACUCCUACGGGAGGCAGCAGUGGGGAAUAUUGCACAAUGGGGGAAACCCUGAUGCAGCGACGCCGCGUGAGUGAAGAAGUAUUUCGGUAUGUAAAGCUCUAUCAGCAGGAACGAGACAAGACGGUACCUGACUAAGAAGCCCCGGCUAACUACGUGCCAGCAGUCGCGGUAAUACGUAGGGGGCAAGCGUUAUCCGGAAUCACUGGGUGUAAAGGGAGCGUAAACGGCUGUGCAAGCCUGAAGUGAAAGGCGGGGGCCCAACCCCUGGACUGCUUUGGGAACUGUGCAGCUAGAGUGCAGGAGAGGUAAGUGGAAUUCCUAGUGUAGCGGUGAAAUGCGUAGAUAUUAGGAGGAACACCAGUGGCGAAGGCGGCUUACUGGACUGUAACUGACGUUGAGGCUCGAAAGCGUGGGGAGCAAACAGGAUUAGAUACCCUCGUAGUU
rnacentral:rRNA from 1 species